rnacentral:rRNA from 1 species
CUACGGGGGGCAGCAGUGGGGAAUAUUGGACAAUGGGGGAAACCCUGAUCCAGCAAUGCCGCGUGUGUGAAGAAGGCCUGCGGGUUGUAAAGCACUUUCGGUUGGGAGGACUGCUUCUAGCACUAAUAUUGUUGGAAGUUGACGUUACCUUCAGAAGAAGCACCGGCUAACUCCGUGCCAGCAGCCGCGGUAAUACGGAGGGUGCAAGCGUUAAUCGGAAUUACUGGGCGUAAAGCGCGCGUAGGCGGCUAGAUAAGUCGGGUGUGAAAGCCCCGGGCUUAACCUGGGAACUGCAUCCGAUACUGUCUAGCUUGAGUACAGGAGAGGGGAGUGGAAUUCCACAUGUAGCGGUGAAAUGCGUAGAUAUGUGGAGGAACACCAAUGGCGAAGGCAGCUCUCUGGCCUGAUACUGACGCUGAGGUGCGAAAGCGUGGGGAGCAAACAGGGUUAGAUACCCCUGUAGUC